rnacentral:rRNA from 1 species
GAUGAACGCUGGCGGCGUGCCUAAUACAUGCAAGUCGAGCGAACAGACGAGGAGCUUGCUCCUCUGACGUUAGCGGCGGACGGGUGAGUAACAUGUGGAUAACCUACCUAUAAGACUGGGAUAACUUCGGGAAACCGGAGCUAAUACCGGAUAAUAUAUUGAACCGCAUGGUUCAAUAGUGAAAGACGGUUUUGCUGGCACUUAUAGAUGGAUCCGCGCCGGAUUAGCUAGUUGGUAAGGUAACGGCUUACCAAGGCAACGAUGCUUAGCCGACCUGAGAGGGUGGUCGGACACACUGGAAGUGAGACAGGGUCCAGACUCCUACGGGAGGCAGCAGUAGGGAAUCUUACGCAAUGGGCGAAAGCCUGACGGAGCAACGCCGCGUGAGUGAUGAAGGUCUUCGGAUCGUAAAACUAUGUUAUUAGGGAAGAACAAAUGUGUAAGUAACUAUGCACGUCUUGACGGUACCUACUCAGAAAGCCACGGCUAACUACGUG